ACGGCGCUGAUUGCGCAUCCCACUUCCGUCACGGACUUCCCUUAAAAACCACAUUAACGCGGCUUUUAUUAUUCUCAUUACUAUUACAGCCGUCAUCUUUAUUUUCACACGCCGAGGCGGCGAUCCCAUCUCUCGGCCGUUAUGUCAAGGGAACAUCAAAGUAUCUUCUGUCGUGGACAAGUCAAAUGAACAUAAAGUAAGCAAACAGCUUGUGAUAGAAAGUGCAAUUGAGUGCCUGGUUAAAGCAUGUCCUGGUGCAGCAGUGGUCCUCAUGUUGCACUACCACAGCAAAGUUAUCUGAAGGAGAGGUUGGAGGAAGAGUGUUGAAGAAGGCUGCUGAGCACCUUCAGGAACUGAUAAAACUGAAGAACAGUUCUCAAACGUUUGUAGGAAAUCAUAAGAAAAGGAAAGGUAACUUAAGAGAAAAUGUGGCUUUGUUAGUUUAUCACAGACAGGUGAUGUGGACGAUGUUUUUCCAAGGUUUGUGUUAAGUUGAGGUUGUACAGUUUGCUGAAAAAGCUUUUGUGCAAUCAUCCUUACCCUAAUUUCUCCUACAGAGAUGAGAUUAGUUUGACUGAAAAGAAUUUUUUUAAUGUUUUUCAUUCAGGCUGUGGGCACAGGAAAAUGUUUCAAAUUAGCAUCCCGCUGGCAGAAGCAGUUGCAAUGUGAAUUCCUUUCUAGCUGGCCUAGCAGCAGUCACCAAGCAGAAACCAACUAGAAUAAAUGCUUCUGCUCCUGAGUGAGCCAGAAGCAGACCUGGGAGCAGGAUUUAGAUGAUAUUCUACACCAGCACAGAAUAAACUUCAUGAGAACGAGAGACAAAUGGGAUCAGUGAAUGAAAAGGGUUAAUAUAAUGGGUAAAGGAAAAAUGGAUCUCCUGGAAAUUCCAUAAUUCAAGCUCUUAGUUUCUUCAGAGCAAGGUGAUAGUUCAGAAUUAUUUGUUUUCAGAAUUUAAAUUGACUGUUAUUAUGUGCAACAGUGGAAAUUAAUUAUGUUGUAGAUGUUGUAGAUUGUCAUUUGAGGUCAGUUAUGCCAUUGGUGGCUUUGAAAGGCUGUUCUGUCCGUCAGCUAUUUGAAAAGGGGAUGCUGCCCUUUUUUUUUUUUUUUCUCCCCACCUUGUUGCUUAUUCAACAAACUGCACAAUUGAUUGCCAGUAGCUGCUGGAAAGUCAAGGCCUGUUUGAAAAAUUUUGAAGGCCGUGUGACUGAAGUUUGUCCUUCCACUAUCAUCUCUACCUGCUGAAUAGCAGAAGAUGCUUCUAUUGUUUACUACACGGGUACCUGAGCCAUGCCUCUCUCUAGAAGAGCCUCUCAUCUAUACAAAACUGGGGGAAUCUGGAACAGUUCCCAGCUUCGAGGAUUUUGUUUCAUGCAUUGAUUGAUAUCAAGUGGUUGUGCUUUACAUUCUUUACCUGCACUAGAGGCAGUCCUCACAGAGAUACCUUCAACAGCCAAAUGCAUUCAUAACCUUUGCAGUGUUCAAAAGGAUUGUAGCAGUAGUUGUGUUCAUGCUUACAUUCAUGAUACAACGUUUACUGAAGAAUAAAUUAAAUUGAUAAAGAUAGGAAAAUGAUAUUCUGGUUGAGUUACUAAACACUUUUAAUUAAGUAUGGAUAUCAUGCACAAGGUAUUAAUAUUGUGACUUUAGGGAAUCAAGUUUCAUAGUCCAGUUUUUCUUGAUAAUGUUAGGCUUGAAACUUCCCAGGAAGAUGAGGGGAGAGUAUGAAUUGUCUAUGUGGAGAACGUUGCAUAUGGAAGCGUUGUGUGAGUUUGCAUACAUUGCAGGCUUGGCAUUAGAGAAUAGCCUUGUUCUUUACCCUCAGCUCCAACUUUGCUUCUCUCAGUUUUUCUCAGUCGAUAAUUGUUUUUGCACCAAUUACAGUGAUAAACUCAGUAGAAGAAAAAUACUCUUGUUAAAUAAAAAAAUUUAAUGGUACUGUGUCCUGCUAAACAUCAAUAUUGCUGAGACUGAGAGACUUUUUUUUUUAAUUACUUACCAGGAUUUUUUAAAUAAGCUGAAAUAAUCCCUAUUUUGUGAAUGUACACACACACACACACACACAUAUAUAUAUAAAGGCAUUUUAUUUUAUGGAAAUUGUUCCAAAAUAUUUACACCUGAGAAAGAUAAAAGCUGUAAAAUAUGUAUUGUUUCAUUUGUAUGUCCUUUAUUUUUUAUGUGUGUUGAACAGUCAUUCUAAAACCAUUAUGCACGAAGGUCUUUAUUCCAGGCAAAGAGAUCUCUUGUGAAGAAAGAAGCAUGUACAGUGUCCAGACCAAGAAUUAUCACAUCACCUCAUGUUUCAUCCCUAAAGGAAUAUGGAAGCUGGAUAAUGCACAAGUUCUUUUCCUUCACCAUUUGCUGUCUGCUUAAUGAAGACAAAGAUUGCCUCGUUUUUGUAAGACAAUAAAUAAAAAGAGCGACAGCUUGAUUUUAA